UAAGCUCGAAAAGCAAUCGCUGGUUAAUAAUCAGAGGAAAGUCCGGGCAGCACAGGAUACGAUAGUUGCUAACGGCAACCGCCCGUGAGGGUAGGGAAAGUACCACAGAGACAUAUACUACCUCGGUUUUACUGGGGUAAAGGUGAAAAGAGUGGGGUAAGAGCCCACAGCAUUGUCUGGUGACAGAUGAUGGAGGCAAACCCUAUCGGCUGCAAGGAGUGCUACUAUACCUCUAUCCGAGGAUGCACGCUCACCGCUUGAGCCUUGGGGCAACUCAAGGACUAGAUAGAUGAUUGCUCAGAUAUCAUUAGAUAUUGAACUGAACCCGGCUUAUUGAGAGCUAAAUUC
rnacentral:RNase_P_RNA from 1 species